UACCUGGCCCUGGAGAAAUGCUUAUUGACUGGUUGAAUGAUGGGUGAUUGUGUCAUUUUUUGUGACCAGAGGACAAGACCAAACCCAAAUCCCACCAUGCCCUGAUGACUGCCCCUUUGGACGAGCAUCUUUCCACUUAGGAUUGUGAACAUGGGCAGGAUGGAGCGUAUGGAGGACACUUCAUGUGAAAAAAACCUGAGACCUUUGAUGGACUUCAAGGCUGUUCCUUGGACAAUCAACACCAGGCACAUCCCUGACCCUAUACUUGAAGACUUUCCGAAUUGGUAGACUCUAACAGAGCUUUGGAGAACCCCAGCAUCACCUCCAUGCCAUGACGGAGCAUCAGAAGAUAAAGUGAAGGAAGAAAAUGAUAUUAAAUAAUAUACACACUUGAGGUGUGUGCUGGACUUUGAGUAACUCCUUUUGGGAAUAAUUGACAAGAUGCUGUUUGAUGUCUUCAGGAAUUAUCUUGUUUUCAGGAAAUUUGUUUCAACUUCUUGUUCCUUCACCCAAUUAUUUUGAUCCAAUCUAGAGAAGAGGGUGACCUGGUGAGUUCAGGACAAGGAAAGUUUUGUAAUUCCAGGCUGGGGUUAGAGAGGGAAAGGCAGGGAUGUGCUGACAAAUGUUUCACAACUGACUCUCUGGGGGAAAUACUGAUGCACUUUUCAUUUUAAUCUGAAUUAUGGAUGAAACAUUUCAUUUUUCUCCAUCAUUUUCUUAAGUCUGGACCAUCAAUAAAAUAGUAAAUCAAGCCUUGACUUAUAGCA
rnacentral:lncRNA from 1 species